rnacentral:tRNA from 1 species
GGCCCUAUCGUCUAAUGGUUAGGACACGGCCUUCUCAAGGCUGGAAUCGGGGUUCGACUCCCCGUAGGGUCACAA